GCAAUCUUGUCGGAGCGCCAUGUGCUGAGACCGAAAUGAUGUUUAUCGGAAUCCGUAGAACCUGAUCAGGCUAAAACCUGCGAAGGGAACAAGAAGAUCCAUUUU
rnacentral:ncRNA from 1 species